GGCCCUGGGCUCCUGGGUCGCCUGGAUCUGCCUUCCCCCCACUGAGAAGGCCUCCUGUUCUGCUCCGGAGGACUGAGGUCUGCCCUGUGC
rfam:Ailuropoda melanoleuca scaffold117_14, whole genome shotgun sequence.